rnacentral:rRNA from 1 species
AAUAGAUACCCCGGUAGUCCACGCCGUAAACGAUGAGUGCUAAGUGUUGGGGGGCUUCCGCCCCUCAGUGCUGCAGCUAACGCAUUAAGCACUCCGCCUGGGGAGUACGGCCGCAAGGCUGAAACUCAAAGGAAUUGACGGGGGCCCGCACAAGCGGUGGAGCAUGUGGUUUAAUUCGAAGCAACGCGAAGAACCUUACCAGGUCUUGACAUCCCGCUGCCCGGUAUAGAGAUAUAUCUUUCCCUUCGGGGACAGCGGUGACAGGUGGUGCAUGGUUGUCGUCAGCUCGUGUCGUGAGAUGUUGGGUUAAGUCCCGCAACGAGCGCAACCCUUGAUCUUAGUUGCCAGCAUUUAGUUGGGCACUCUAAGGUGACUGCCGGUGACAAACCGGAGGAAGGUGGGGAUGACGUCAAAUCAUCAUGCCCCUUAUGACCUGGGCUACACACGUGCUACAAUGGAUGGUACAAAGGGCUGCAAGACCGCGAGGUUUAGCCAAUCCCAUAAAACCCAUUCUCAGUUCGGAUUGCAGG